rnacentral:rRNA from 1 species
GCGGCAGGCUUAAUACAUGCAAGGCGAAGGGGCAGCAAUGUCACUGUCGUACGGGUGCGUAACGCGUAUGCAACCUACCUAUCACUGGGGGAUAGCCCGGGGAAACCCGGAUUAAUACCGCAUAAAACAGGGGCACCGCAUGGUGAUAUUUGUUAAAGAUUUAUUGGUGAUAGAUGGGCAUGCGUUCGAUUAGCUGGUUGGCGGGGUAACGGCCCACCAAGGCAACGAUCGAUAGGGGAGCUGAGAGGUUGAUCCCCCACACGGGCACUGAGAUACGGGCCCGACUCCUACGGGAGGCAGCAGUAGGGAAUAUUGGGCAAUGGAUGCAAGUCUGACCCAGCCAUGCCGCGUGCCGGAUGAAGGCCCUCAGGGUUGUAAACGGCUUUUAUUCGGGAAGAAGAGCAGGGAUGCGUCCUUGUGUGACGGUACCGAAUGAAUAAGCACCGGCUAACUCCGUGCCAGCAGCCGCGGUAAUACGGAGGGUGCGAGCGUUGUCCGGAUUUAUUGGGUUUAAAGGGUGCGUAGGUGGCUUUUUAAGUCAGUGGUGAAAUACGGUUGCUCAACAAUCGAGGUGCCAUUGAUACUGAAGAGCUUGAAAUAAUUGGAGGCUGCCGGAAUGGAUGGUGUAGCGGUGAAAUGCAUAGAUAUCAUCCAGAACACCGAUUGCGAAGGCAGGUGGCUACGAUUUGUUUGACACUGAGG